rnacentral:rRNA from 1 species
UACGGAGGGUGCAAGCGUUAAUCGGAUUUACUGGGCGUAAAGGGCGCGUAGGUGGUUGUUUAAGUGAGAUGUGAAAGCCCCGGGCUUAACCUGGGAAUUGCAUUUGUGACUGCACGGCUAGAGUGUGUCAGAGGGGGGUAGAAUUCCACGUGUAGCAGUGAAAUGCGUAGAUAUGUGGAGGAAUACCGAUGGCGAAGGCAGCCCCCUGGGAUAACACUGACGCUCAUGCACGAAAGCGUGGGGAGCAAACAGG